rnacentral:rRNA from 1 species
GAUGAACGCUGGCGGCGUGCCUAAUACAUGCAAGUCGAGCGAAGCGGGGACGGGUGCGUAACACGAGGAUAACCUACCAUAAGACUGGGAUAACUUCACGAAACGGGAGCUAAAUCGGACACUUAAAGAGGGCAACGCGCUGCAUUAGCUAGUUGGUAAGGUAACGGCUGACCAAGGCAACGAUCCAUUGCCGACCUUGGAGGGUGGUCGGCAACACGGGAACUGAGACACGGUCCAGACUCCUACGGGAGGCAGCAGGAGGGAAUCUUCCGCAAUGGGCUAAAGCCUUACGGAGCAACGCCGCGGGAGUGAUGAAGGUCUUCGGAUCGUAAAACUCUGUUAUUAGGGAAGCGGUACCUAAUCAGAAAGCCACGGCUAACUACGUGCCAGCAGCCGCGGUAAUAC